GACCAACUGAGAAUCGAUCUUGUAUUGCAAGUGUGACAUGUGUGGAGAAGAACCCCUUAAGCUAUUUCAUCAUCCAUAUUUUUCAUUGCAUUCAUAUUUACAUUUUUCUCUUAAUUAUAAUCUGUCCAUUUAAUUUAAUCUCGUCAAAAACAACUCAAUUUCCCCCCCCCAUAUUUUGUUAAAGUCUUAGUCGUUCAAAUCUAUCUUAUUUUAUGCUUUUAAGUAUUUGGAGUCUUUUGAACUUGUUUUGAGUCUUUUUGGUUUGUCUUAGUGUUUUAAAAGUUAGUUUUAUUUAUUUGAGUCAAGUGUUUAGCACCCCUAGUUAAUCCCCGGUUAGAACGAUCCCUACUUACAUCAUUACUACAAUUGUCACAAAUAGGGUUUAAUUUGUGUGCUUAUAUAUUUCGCAUCAAAUUUUGGCGCCGUUGCCGGGGAUUAGCAAAUUUGCUAAUCCCUUGGUUCUUUUCUUUUUGUUUAGUUUGUUUUUGUUUUCUUUGUUUUGUGUUACUCUUGAUAUUUGAUUUAGUUUUGUUUCUUUGAUUUCAGAUACUAGAGAAGUAAGACAUGGAUUUUGCUAACAUUCAAGCUCAAUUGGCGAAUCUUACUUCUCAAUUGUCAUAGAUUGCCGGAAGGACCAUAAUGCAAAGUGUCCCUACAUUUGGCAUGUCCUAUGGGCACGGAUAUCAAACUCAUCAACAUCCUCAAUUCAAUGUGAACGAAGAUGCUUGGGGUUAUCAAGGCUAUGAUCAACCAAGCAACAACAUGUUUUCCAACGCUUACAAUUC
rnacentral:lncRNA from 1 species